UACGUAGGGGGCAAGCGUUGUCCGGAAUCAUUGGGCGUAAAGAGUACGUAGGCGGUCCGUUAAGCGGAGGGUGAAAGGCAUAGGCUCAACCAAUGUGAGCCCUCCGAACUGACAGACUUGAGUGCGGGAGAGGAAAGCGGAAUUCCUGGUGUAGCGGUGAAAUGCGUAGAUAUCAGGAGGAAUACCGGUGGCGAAGGCGGCUUUCUGGACCGUAACUGACGCUGAGGUACGAAAGCGUGGGGAGCAAACA
rnacentral:rRNA from 1 species